rnacentral:misc_RNA from 1 species
AUGUCUUAUUUAUUGUAUUAAAACAUAAAAAAAAAAAAAAAAAAAAAAAAAAAAAAAAAAAAAAAAAAAAAAAAAAAAAAAAAAAAAAAAAAAAAAAAAAAUCUUAGAUAUUAAAAAUAGCACGGUGUCGUCUCCUGUCAAAGAUUUUCAUUGUAAUAUGAAACUUUGAAUAGUUACGGGCUUCUGUAAAGAGCUCACUAUAGACGGCGCCACGGUUCGCUUAAACCGAAAUUAAAAAUUAUCAUAUCGAAAAUUUCGCUCGAGCGGGUGCAUCGUUCC